ACCAAGCAACUUUGUGGCUUAUUUUCAGCAAUGUGAAGUUCUACUCUCUGAAGGUCACUCUGCUCUCAAGUCUACCUUACCUCCAAUACUUUGGCCUACAGCGGUUCCUCCUGCUACUGCUUCCUCUCAAGAUAUCUGAGCAGAACCCUAAUAUCCAGCAGGACACUUAUUCCCGAGCUGAACCAAGAUAUCCUAGGAACUGAUCAUGAAGCAUGAGUUACUUUCAAGAAGC